UGGGUGGGGUUCCUUCUUCACAAUCCCUUUUGAUUCCUCCGCAGGUCUCACUGUCCCAGCUCAAGUCUGGCCUGUUUGAAGGACACUGGAAACCCCAGAGGUGUUGGUUGGAUGCUUGGUGUGGCCUGCAGCAGGAUUUCCAUGACCAGUUCCUUGGCAGGUGCUGGCCAGGCUUUGCCCUACUCAGAAAUAACCGUGUUUUGGAAAAGUAGGAGCCAGUUGGAACACUUGUGGAUUGUUCUGGGGGAAGCAGGGAAAGGCUUUCACUGAGCGUUGGAGAUUUUGGCUCAGGAUGGAAGAGUGCUGUUGUGCUCUCAAUGGAUUUGGCUUUGCUGUUUAGAAGUUAAAACAGUAAAAGUGAAGAAGCUGAAGAGAAUGAC